UACGUAGGGGGCAAGCGUUGUCCGGAUUCAUUGGGCGUAAAGAGCGUGUAGGCGGCCAGGUAGGUCGGUUGUGAAAACUGGAGGCUCAACCUUCAGAGGUCGACCGAAACCAUCUGGCUAGAGUCCGGGAGAGGAGAGUGGAAUUCCGUGGUGUAGCGGUGAAAUGCGCAGAUAUCAGGAAGAACACCCGUGGCGAAAGCGGCGUCUCUGGAACGGUACUGACGCUGAGACGCGAAAGCGUGGGGGAGCAA
rnacentral:rRNA from 1 species